GUACUCAUUUCGGCAGCACAUACACUAAAAUUGGAAUGAUACGGAGAAGUUUAGUAUGGCCCCUGCGCAAGCAUGACAUGCAAAUUCGUGAAGCAUUCCAUAUUUUU
ensembl:snRNA U6 U6 spliceosomal RNA